AUUGAACGCUUGCGGCAGGCUUAACACAUGCAAGUCGAACGAGUGGCGGACGGGUUAUUAAUGUCUGGGAAACUGCCUGAUGGAGGGGGAUAACUACUGGAAACGGUAGCUAAUACCGCAUACCAUCGGAUGUGCCCAGAUGGGAUUAGCUAGUAGGUGGGGUAACGGCUCACCUAGGCGACGAUCCCUAGCUGGUCUGAGCGGAUGACCAGCCACACUGGAACUGAGACACGGUCCAGACUCCUACGGGAGGCAGCAGUGGGGAAUAUUGCACAAUGGGCGCAAGCCUGAUGCAGCCAUGCCGCGUGUGUGAAGAAGGCCUUCGGGUUGUAAAGCACUUUCAGCGAGGAGGCGUUACUCGCAGAAGAAGCACCGGCUAACUCCGUGCCAGCAGCCGCGGUAAUAC
rnacentral:rRNA from 1 species